AACCACAUUGCUGAACUAACCAGGAAGGCAGCACACUACAGUUAACGACUAACCCUAACACUAACACACAUUAUGGUUAAUGUACAAAAAAUUACCAUGGAGAACCAGAAUUCUCUCACAAAUUAUUUUCUCAUCACAAACAUUGCCACAAAAAUGGCAUUUUAUUCUAUAUGGAUAAAGACAUUUUUUUUUUUUUUUACAUUACAUGAUUUCUUCCUCAGAGUUUACAAUAAGGUUUAGUUUCUUAAGGUUAACCAGCCGGCACAUGACCGACCUUCAAUGUUGAAAUAUGGUUGAAAUAAGGUCAGUUGUUGUUGUUUUAACGUUGAAACAACGUUGAAAAAUGUUUAAUGCUAAAUGGUUGAGAAAGGUUAACAAAAACACAUGUAAAUCAACAUUAAUUUAUUUUUAAUAAGAUCUGUAUGUUGAAUCAACUUAAUGUCUUCAACAGCAUACAAAAUAAAUGUCUGCCUUUUAAAUUAUUUAUAUUAAAUUAUUUAAGAUUAUUAUUAUUAUUUUAAUAGCAUUUUACAAUAUUUUAAUCAUGAUACCUAUUAGGUAUAUGUUAAAUAUUAUCAUCAUUUCGCUGCGUUAUCAUGCUGAAACAAUUCCCAUUGGUUGUUUUACUUUAUUGCUUUGAUCGUGAUUGGUUAUUCUGGCUGUCUUCCAGGAAACUGGACAAUUAAACAAUUCGUGCCUUUCUAAAUUUAAAAAUAUGACCGUUAUUACCGUUUUUCUGUGAGUGAGUCGGCAGACCGUGAGCUGCUGCUCGUUAACUGCUCGGUCGGUCCCGAAUUAUUUAAUAUUUGCCUGUUAAUUUUUUUUUAUUUUGAGCGAAUUUGAGUCGUGACAUGUCAAUGGAGAACAAAAACUGUAACGUGAACACAAGAAGGGUCAGAUGUGUUCUGCGAGGUCCUGGUAAAAUGAGGUAAGAAAAUCGCUAUCUUUAUUAUCUUUCCAAAAUAGUAAAGUAUAACAUUACCAGAGUUUACAAAUGGGUAAAGGACAUUACCUAUAGAAGAUAAAUACCUGUGUGUGUAUUUUUGUAUUGCUUUAUCACAGAUGCUCAAGUUGGAUGCUGAUGUUGUUGUGUUGCUGAGUCAUCAAGGAUCAAGUUUAUUAUUGGCACAUUGGACAGUACAGAAAGCGCACAAGUGGGAGAGAGUGGAGGGGACGUAUCCUCUAACGCUGGGCCCUUGGAAUUGUCCUAACCUGCCCUCCCCUUACGGCGCCCCUGGUUGCAGGUUCCAUUGUCAAACUGUUCAACACAUUUUCACUGCACAAAUGUACCCAUCUCUUGUAAUGAGACACAUUAGUAAAACAUGUUUUCACAGAAACUACAGUUUUCCACCAAAAUAAAAGAUCAACUGGUUUCAG